rnacentral:rRNA from 1 species
AUUGAACGCUGGCGGCAGGCCUAACACAUGCAAGUCGGACGAGUGGCGGACGGGUGAGUAAUGUAUGGGGAACUGCCUGAUGGAGGGGGAUAACUACUGGAAACGGUAGCUAAUACCGCAUACCAUCAGAUGAACCCAAAUGGGAUUAGCUUGUAGGUGAGGUAACGGCUCACCAAGGCGACGAUCCCUAGCUGGUCUGAGAGGAUGACAAGCCACACUGGGACUGAGACACGGUCCAGACUCCUACGGGAGGCAGCAGUGGGGAAUAUUGCACAAUGGGCGCAAGCCUGAUGCAGCCAUGCCGCGUGUAUGAAGAAGGCCUUCGGGUUGUAAAGUACUUUCAGCCGGGAGGCGUUACCCACAGAAGAAGCACCGGCUAACUCCGUGCCAGCCGCCGCGGUAAUUC